GACGAACGCUGGCGGCGUGCUUAACACAUGCAAGUCGAACGGAAAGGCCCUGCUUUUGUGGGGUGCUCGAGUGGCGAACGGGUGAGUAACACGUGAGUAACCUGCCCUUGACUUUGGGAUAAAUUCAGGAAAAUGGGGCUAAUACCGGAUAGGAGCUCCUGCUGCGUGGUGGGGGUUGGAAAGUUUCGGCGGUUGGGGCUGGACUCGCGGCUUAUCAGCUUGUUGGGCGGGUAGUGGCUUACCAAGGUUUUGACGGGUAGGCGGCCUGAGAGGGUGACCGGCCACAAGGGGACUGCGAUACGGACCAGACGCGUACGGGAGGCAGCAGUGGAGAAUAUGGCACAACGGGCGGAAGCCUGAUGCAGAAACGCCGCGUGCGGGAUGACGUGCUUCGGGUGAUAAACCGCUGUCGCCUGUGACGAAGCGUUCGUGACGGUAAUGGGUAAAGAAGCACCGGCUAACUACGUG
rnacentral:rRNA from 1 species